AACAACGGCUGGCGGCGUGCCUAACACAUGCAAGUCGUACGAGAAAGUCGGCUUCGGCCGAUGAGUACAGUGGCGCACGGGUGAGUAGCGCGUGGGUAAUCUGCCCCCCGGUCAGGAAUAACCCGCCGAAAGGCGGGCUAAUACCCGAUAACACUGACGCUCCGCGGAGCGUCUUUCAAAGAAGGCCUCUGUUUACAAGCUUUCGCCGGAGGAUGAGCCCGCGUACCAUUAGCUAGUUGGCAGGGUAAUGGCCUACCAAGGCUACGAUGGUUAGCUGGUCUGAGAGGAUGGCCAGCCACACUGGAACUGAGACACGGUCCAGACUCCUACGGGAGGCAGCAGUGAGGAAUCUUGCGCAAUGGGGGAAACCCUGACGCAGCAACGCCGCGUGAGUGAGGAAGGCCUUCGGGUCGUAAAGCUCUGUCAGAUGGGAAGAAAUGGAUGGGGGCUAAUAUCGCCCAUCCUUGACGGUACCAUCAGAGGAAGCACCGGCUAACUCCGUG
rnacentral:rRNA from 1 species